UAUGUGAUCGUCUCUCGCAUAUCAAUAAGCGGAGGAAAAGAAACUAACAAGGAUUCCCUUAGUAACGGCGAGUGAAGCGGGAAGAGCUCAAAUUUGAAAUCUUCAAGGUUUUACCUUGACGAAUUGUAGUUUAAAGAAGUGUUCUCUGUUGAAGUUUUGGUAAAAGUUCUUUGGAAUAGGACAUCAUAGAGGGUGAGAAUCCCGUAUUUGACCAUUAUUUUCAGCUGUGUGAUACACUUUCAAAGAGUCGGAUUGUUUGGGAAUGCAGUCCAAAAUGGGUGGUAAAUUUCAUCUAAAGCUAAAUAUUGGCGAGAGACCGAUAGCGAACAAGUACCGUGAGGGAAAGAUGAAAAGAACUUCGAAAAGAGAGUUAAACAGUAUGUGAAAUUGUCAAAAGGGAAGCGUUUGACACCAGUGUUGUUUUCUCGAAAAUCAAUUAAAAAGAGUUAGAUUUUGUUGUGUAUUGACCUUAACAGCUUGCAUUUCAAUUUUCUUGCUUUUUUUAAUGCACUUUUCGUUUAACAAGUCAACAUCAGUUUCUUUUGUUGUAAAAAGGUCAUUGGAAGGUGGCUUUCUUUUCGGAGAAAGUGUUUAUAGCCUUUGACUCCUGCAAUCGGAGAGACUGAGGUCUGCAGCGUAGAUCCUUCGGGGUUAGAUACAUUUGUGCUAAGUUAUAGCUUUUUAUAGACAACUUGUUGACUAUGAUUAGUCUUGUAGCUUACUCGCUUAUGCUAUUUUACCUACGCUUAGGAUGUUGAAGAUGUAGCACAUCA
rnacentral:rRNA from 1 species